ensembl:lncRNA
CUUUCUUCCAGGGAAUAUCAAUUACAAAACCAUUCAAAAGAAGAGAUUACAUAAGGCACUGAAAUAGACUCCACCUGAAACAAAACUCAAAUUUAUAUAUAUAUAUAUGUGUGUGUGCGCGUGUGAGUGCGUGUAUUUAAAUAGUGUUGUAAUACCACGCGUGUCCGGUAGAGGUCACAAGAGUCCUUCAGAUGAGCUUGUUCUCAAUCUGCACCUGAAGGGCUUUAUCAGUGAUGAUUGAGAACGAUUACAUUAUUAUGCCAUUUCACAAGAUGAAUAUGCACAUUAGGAGUGGAUUUGGGUUACUGUACUUAAUCCAUCUUUUUUUUUGCUCAUCAAAUCAACCUUUUUCCCUUACGAGCAAAUGCAUGCCAGCAGGCCGCAUCUUAUUUUCCCAAAUGUGAUGCAUUGCUUUAUCGCUAAUUAUGAAUAUGCAAAUGAAGGCAGGCUCAAUGAGAAGUGUUUUGAAAAAUAGACUCCCUAAGGCCUUGAUUGAUUAUAUCACACAUGAGAGUGUUUCUAUAGAGAACUGCAGAAAAAUCACACCUCGAUUUCUUUUCUUGUUGAGAUUUAUAUUGUGCAAGUAAAAUAAGUUUUGAAUUCGAUUCAAGUAGGAUUAGAUAUUUGUUUUGCAUGGAGCAAGUUUAGUCCAGCUAAAUCUGUUGUAUCCAUACUGCUGUCUGUAAAGUGAAUCUUUGAAUCAGAUAUGCAUCUGUGGAUGUCAUCAAACAUUGCAUCUGUUUGCCUGUUCAGCUGCACUUUCACAGGUUUAGUUUCUUGAGCGACGCUGAUAAUGUGCCAGAUUACGGACACUGAAGAUGUAAAAUGUGUCAGAUGUGUGUUUGUGAGCUCUGUGGUGCUUCUCACUACAGCUUUAUUUGACAGAACAGCUGUGUGAAACACAGGGAGACGAUGUCCCACGAGAUCCAGAGACCGAACAGACCUCACAAGUGCAGUUUUACUUUCCUGUGAUGACUUUUUUUUUUUUUUUUUUCUGUUGGCACAGGACAUAUUGAAGAGCUUGUCCUUUUAUUAAUGAAAGCAAGGUCUGAUAAUAAGCUGUACUUUGGAUCCAAUUAAGUCACUUUAGAUAAAAGUGUCUGUUAAAUGCAUAUGUGAAACACAUCAUUAAGACGUUUUAGCUUCAAAACAUUGGUUAAAUAUGAGACUGUAUUCGGUAAUAAUUCUUACUCUGGUGAAAAAGUGUUCUGGUGUGAAUCAGGAGAGAAAUCUGCACAGAUCAAGCAGCGUUUAAACAGCUCUAAACAAAUCUGUGGCUGGAUUUUGAUGUGAGAGACAACAGCAGAUGCACUUUUUCACUGGAGGAAGUGUUAUUAUGGAUUAUAGACUCUAUGUGUUUGAGUUAAAAAACGUCUUAAUGCUGGAUUUGUUUCAGCUUUUGUCUUCUCCAGAUGUUAACUGAUGGACUGGAGUGCUGUGGAUUACUUGUGGAUUAUUGUGAUGUUUUUAUGGACUCUCAUUCUGACGGCACCCAUUCAGAGCAUCCAUUGCUGAGACAUUUCUCCAAAUCUGAUGAAGAAACAAACUCAUCUAAACCUCGGAUGUCCUGAGGCACCAGCUGUGCUUUAAAGACUCGUCUCAUCGGCUUCUUCAAGCGUUCGUGAAGCCAUCUGUUUGAGCCUUUGUGCCUCUGUGCAGAUGUUGGAGAGAGAUUUCAGGACUCGUUUCUAAAGACUCGGGGGAGAGAAGUGUUUAGAUAAGCAUGUUAAAUUGAAGCACUUCAGACGUGGCAUUCAUCUGUCCAACAUCACAUUUCAAAUUCAAUCCUAUGUGCAUAAAAUAAAUCAUAACAUGCAGUAGCUUCUUUUUUGACUAGUGCUUCAGGCAAUAACACACUGAUGCUAUUUGCACUUUUAAUCACUGUCAUUGUUCUCUUGAACUUUCUAUUCAUCUGUGAAUCCUGAAAAUUAAAAAGUAUGACGGUUUCCACAAUAAUAACUGUUUUUAAUGAUUUCUGAAGAUCAUGUGACACUGAAGACUGGAGUAAUGAUGCUGAAAAUUCAGCUGCACAUCACAGAAAUAAAUUACAGUUUAACAGAUAUUCACAUAGAAAACACUUAUUUUAAAUAAGAAUAAUAUUUCGCAAUAUUACUGAUUUUACUGUAUUUUUAGUCAAAUUAAUGUAACAGUAGUGAGCAGAAGAGAUUAAAAUAAUUUAAACAUUUUUAACAAAUCUUAAUGGUCCCCAGCUUUUUAAUAGUAGUGUGAAUGUAGCAAAUAUGUAUUCUUUAUUCUCACACAUUUU